rnacentral:rRNA from 1 species
CCCUUAGUAGUGGCGAACGAAACGGGAUCAGCCCAUCACGUAGGAUCAUAGGCUUAAUUGUCUAUUGAUCGAUUCCGUGUAAAGGAGGGUCCAUUAUCUUGCACAUAUAAACAUCAUAUUUAAGUCCAGCUUGAAUGCGGCUCAAUAUACCCACAGAGGGUGCCAGGCCCGUAUAUGUAUGAUGCUUGUGUAAGUGGGCUAUCAACUCCUAGGAGUCAUGUUGCUUGAUAGUGCAGCAUUAAGUGGGAGGUAAACUCCUUCUAAGGCUAAAUAUUACC